UACGUAGGGUGCGAGCGUUGUCCGGAAUUAUUGGGCGUAAAGAGCUUGUAGGCGGUUUGUCGCGUCUGCCGUGAAAUUUCGAGGCUCAACCUCGAACUUGCGGUGGGUACGGGCAGACUAGAGUGUGGUAGGGGAGACUGGAAUUCCUGGUGUAGCGGUGAAAUGCGCAGAUAUCAGGAGGAACACCAAUGGCGAAGGCAGAUCUCUGGGCCGUAACUGACGCUGAGGAGCGAAAGCAUGGGGGGCGAACAGG
rnacentral:rRNA from 1 species